rnacentral:rRNA from 1 species
CAGCAGCCGCGGUAAUACGUAGGUGGCAAGCGUUGUCCGGAUUUAUUGGGUUUAAAGGGUGCGUAGGCGGUUUUGUAAGUCAGUGGUGAAAUAUAGCAGCUUAACUGUUAGGGUGCCAUUGAUACUGCAGAACUUGAGUACAGAUGAGGUAGGCGGAAUUGACGGUGUAGCGGUGAAAUGCUUAGAUAUCGUCAAGAACACCUAUAGCGAAGGCAGCUUACUAGGCUGUAACUGACGCUGAGGCACGAAAGUGUGGGGAUCAAACAGGAUUAGAUACCCUGGUAGUCCACACUGUAAACGUUGAUUACUCGCUGUGUGCGAUAUACAGUACGCGGCCAAGCGAAAGCGAUAAGUAAUCCACCUGGGGAGUACGCCGGCAACGGUGAAACUCAAAGGAAUUGACGG